UACGAAGGUCCCAAGCGUUAUCCGGAUUUAUUGGUUUAAAGGGUGCGUAGGCGGCUUAUUAAGUCAGUGGUGAAAGCCCCAAGCUUAACUUGGGAACUGCCAUUGAUACUGAUGAGCUUGAGUAGAUUUGAGGCGGGCGGAAUGUGUCGUGUAGCGGUGAAAUGCUUAGAUAUGACACAGAACACCAAUUGCGUAGGCAGCUCGCUAAACUCUUACUGACGCUGAGGCACGAAAGCAUGGGGAUCAAACAGG
rnacentral:rRNA from 1 species